rnacentral:misc_RNA from 1 species
UCAAACUUGGUCAUUUAGAGGAAGUAAAAGUCGUAACAAGGUUUCCGUAGGUGAACCUGCGGAAGGAUCAUUAAAAGUGCCCCAGCCUGAGCUGGCGGACUACACCACUGCCUCGCCCUCAAGGGAAGGUUAUGUGUCCACCCUUUGUGAAACUUCUACCUUUGCUUCGGCAGCACUCUCUUCGAAGGGGUAAGGCUGUCAGAAGCCCAUAUCAAACUAGUUGAUGAAAUGUCAUGCUGUCUGAUAACUACUAUUUGAGAAAUCAAAUUGAUCUUAAAACUUUCAGCAACGGAUCUCUUGGUUCCCGCAUCGAUGAAGAACGCAGC